rnacentral:tRNA from 1 species
GGGUGUAUAGCUAAGUGGUAGAAUGUGUGCUUAGCAGGCACAAGGUCCUGGGUUCAAUCCCCAGUAACUCCA